rnacentral:rRNA from 1 species
AGAGUUUGAUCCUGGCUCAGAGCGAACGCUGGCGGCGUGCUUAACACAUGCAAGUCGAACGUGAAAGUAGCAAUACGAGUAAAGUGGCGUACGGGUGAGUAACACGUGGGUAAUCUACCUUAGAAUCUGGAAUAACCGGCCGAAAGGCUGGCUAAUACCAGAUAGUUCAAGCGCAUUAUAAUGGUGCGAUUGGGAAAGGG